GUUCCGCAGCCCGGCUCGGCUACCAAUGCCCCGCCGGCUGCUGGGGAGGGGAUGAGAGCGGUUGGUCCCCCAGCACGGCCUCUGGGAAAGGGCCGGAUGUGCUCCCACUCCUCUAGCCAGUGGCUUGAACAUCCCUGUUCUGGUCCUGGACAUUCAAGGAUAACUGUGGCACGUUCAUAUAAUACAACACUCUACAACAAUGAAAAAGAAUGAACUGCUGCAUGAAACAAUAUGGAUGAAUCUGACAGAAAUAAAGCUGAGCAGAAGAGAGCCUUGGAGGUGCUAUGAAAGUCAAAGAUUGGCAGUUCUACCAAUGUGAUAACAUCAGUUCUGAAAAUAGCCAUGAGGCAAGGGGAAGAGAGAAGCAUGAUUAGGUUCAUUGUGGCAUCACCCUUUGUGGCAAUCUUCAUGAGAGGAAACAGCACCUAGUACUCCCUGUGGGUGGUUACUCCAAUGAAGCUGUGGUAUAUAUACUGAAAGAAUGUGGUGCACAUCAUACAGGCAUAGCAAAAAAAUAUGACUGUAAUCUCUCUUGGGGGAUGCCAUCAGUGACAGUGCCACAAAACAUGAAGAUCUAUGGAUCACCAUAAAGUUGUGGCUCUUAACUUGUGACCUUGACUGUAUAAACACUAUACCUUUCUGUCUGAAGUUCUGCAGAUGGAUUGGAGUAGAGUAUCUAGGCGUUUCAGCCAUGACCUUACAGAGAAGGAACGGUAUAAUACCUUUGUGCCCCUUCAGCUUCUUCCAGAGAGGAAGAAGGCAGAAUGGAAAUUAUUUAGGAAACUAACCAUUCUGCCUUAGUCUGCCCCAACUAGAUUACAUGCUGUUUGAGAACACAGGCUGUGCCUGUUUUCUAUACCCUGUUUUAUGUGUAGCGCAGUUCUUGGUACUUAGAAGGAAGUCAGUACCUAUAUACUAAUGAAUGAAGAAAUAAAAAUUAUAUAGUCAAUUCUACCACCAUAGAAUGUCAGAUUGUAGGAAAUGUGUUACCUAUACAGCAAACUUCUGUGUAAACACAAGGCCAACACUACACCUUCCUCAUUUCUUACUGAGUAGUGCCCAGUGAUUACUUGACUUUUUUGUGAGAGAGAAAAAUAUUGGUUGAAUGAAUGAGUGGAUGUCUCAGUGAGAGCUAGUUCUGUUUCCAAACACUUUUACAAGGAAUUUUCACUACACUGAUAAUGAAAAUGCUUAUUAAUGAACCCUCAUAUAAAUACCCCUGCUAACUGCCAAGAGAGAAAAAUAACCUCUCUCUCUUAUCACUGUGGGCUUAAGGCUUUCUUCUGUUACCACAGUCACCAAUAGGAAAACUGAAAAAAGUGAGAAAACAGAACUUUUUUGAGAUAUGAAAAGGCAUUUUUCUAAUAGUAGCUUAUGUUGUCAGCAGCUAAACUAUCUCACAAUUCAAGAUCAUUACAUAAAUUCCAGAAAGUGACUAUUUGUAAAGGAACCAUCAAACUUUGUCAGUAUGAUGAACAUUUGAGCAAAAUCUGUUAUUCUGCCUUUUCUUGAUCCCCAGCCCAUAUUUACUUUGUAUGUUCAUGGUUUUGUAGCAUGGGAAGCCAUUCAACCUGUGGCUUCCCUGAUUGUGAAAGUGUAUAGCUCUGUGACACUCUUCAGAAGACCAUGAAAGAGAGAGUACUUCAAAACGUUCAUGGAAAGUGGAAUUAAAAUAUUUUGGUGCAAAAAUUUUUUGAAAUGUAUGUAUAGUUUGUUUUAAUAAUAUGCAUUCUCAAUUAACUUUUUGAAAACCUCAUAUAUGUUCUGGUCCUUUACAUUUGUGUCUAGAAUGAAAAAUUACUCAUGGUUAUUUCCUUUCUCUAAUAAUAUGAAGCUAUUUAUAUAUCUACAUAUCACUAAAUAAUACUCAUUUUGAAGGCAGGACUUUGUUCUUUCCAUUUUUGAAUGCACAGAGCUUGGUAUGUAUUUGCUGAGUUAUUCGUUCUUCUGCUUACUUUGGAUUUAAUUUUCAUUUUCUAAGGUAGAAGCUUAGAUGAUUGAUUUUUAGAUAUUUCUUCUUAAUUCCAUUCAGGGGUAUAAAUUUCCCUCUAAACACUGCUUUCUAUGUAUCCUACAAAUUUUUGAUAACUUGUGUUUCAUUAUCGCUGUUUAAAAUUUAUCUUGAGAUUUGUUUUUUGACCCAUGUAUUUAGAAUUAUAUUGUUUAUACUCCACAUAGUUUGGAAUCUUCUAGUUAUUUGUGUUAUUAACUAAAGUAUUAAUUACAUUGUGGUAUUACAGCAGAUUUAUGAUAUCCAUUUAUUUUUUUAAAGAUUUAUUUAUUUGAAAGGCAGAGUUACAGAGAGGCAGAGGCAGAGAGAUAGAGAGAGGCCUUUCAUCCACUGGUUCUCUUCCCACAUGGCCACAAUGGCAGGAGCUGCGCUGAUCUGAAGCUAGAAGCCAGGAGCCAGGAGCUUCUUCCGGGUCUCCCACAUGGGUGCAGGGCCCCAAGGACUUGGGCCAUCUUCUCCUACUUUCCCAGGCCACAGCAGAGAGCUGGAUCAGAAGAGGAACAGCUGGGACUCAAACCAGCACCCAUAUGGGAUGCUGGCAUUACAGGCAGUAGUUUUACCCACUAUGCCACAGUGCCGGCCUCACAUAUAUAUUCAUGUAAAUUUGUUAAGGUGUGUUUUAUGGUUCAAAAUGUGGUCUAUCUUGGUGAAUGUUCCGUGAGAGCUUCAGAAGAGUGUUGUGUUCUGUGGCUGUUGGGUGAAAUAAUCUAUGUCAAUUAUAUGCAGUUGAUUGGUGGUGAUACUGAGUUAAACUAUGUCCUUACUGAUUCUCUGCCUGAAUAAUAUAUAACAGUGAAUGGAUAUAUGUCUCCAUAUAAUUCCAUUAGUUUUUCCCUCACAUAUAUUUUUUAAUUUAUUUAUUAGAGAGAGAGAGAGAGAGAGAGAGAGAAAGAAUGUUCCCAUUCACUGGUUCACUUCCCAAAUGCUGACAAUAGCUGGAGCUAGCCAGACUAAAGCCCAGAGCUGGUAACUCAAUCCAGGUCUUCCAUGUGGGUGGCAGGGACCAAUUGUUUGAGCCAUCAUCUGCUUCCUCCUGGGGUGCACAUUAUCAAGAAGCUGGAAUCAGGAGCACAGGCAAGACCUGAAUCUAGACACUUCAAUAUGGGAUGUGGACACCCUAACUGGUAUCUUAAUGACCAGUUCAAAUGCCCACCCAUUUGCUUCACAUAUUUUGUUGAUCUGUUUUUAUGUGCAUUCCUGUUGUAGCUUGUGUCUUCUUAGAUAAUUGAUUACCCUUUUAUCAUUAUGCAGUACCCUUCUCUAUCACUGAUAAAUUUCCAUGCUUUUUUAAGAUCUGUUCCAUCUAAAAUUAAUAAACCUAUUCCUACUUUGUACUGAUUAGUUUUAGCAUGUUUUCUCAUUCCUUCUAAACUGUAUGUUAUUUAUGUUUAAAGUAGUUUCUUAUAGACAUUAGAUACUUGGGUCUUGUUUUUGAUCCCCUCUGAAGGCCUAUUCUUUAAUUGGUGCAUUAAAAUUACUGAAUCAACGGUGUUAUUGAUAUUGUUAGAUGAAGAUCAACCACACUUGCUACUAUUUUCUUUGUUGUCCUUUUCUUUGUUCCUAUUUUUGUCUUAUCCUCUCUUUAUGCCUUUUGUUGUUUUAAUUGAAUAUUUUAUGAACAUUUUAUCAUUUCAUUUUUUUUCUUUCUUAGCAUGUCUAAAUUAUCUUUCUUUGUUGGUGUAACCUAGAGUUGCAAUACUGAUUUAGAACUAAUCAAAGCCCACUCUAAAAUAAAACAAUACUACUUUAUGGGUAGUGUGAAUACCUUGUAUUAUCAAAAUUAUCAUAAUUGCUCCAUCCCAACACUUGUAUUACUACUGUUAUCCUUUCACUUAUAUAACAGUAUACAUAAGCAUAUAUAUGCUUAUAAAAAUCAUGGAGAAUGUAUAUUAUGAAGAAAUGAUGCAUGAAUGUCACAUUUUUUACACCAAAAUCAACUUAUCUUUUAAUUCCACUUUCCAAAACUUUUUGAAGUAUCUUUAUGUAUGUUAUAUAAAAGCAUUCAUAAUCAAGUAUAUUUUUGUCAGGAUUAUUUUGCAAAACCAGAACUUGUACAGUGUGGCCCACAAGUUCAAGAGGGUUCACACGUAACAUUCAUUAAUUCCAAAGAAAACCGCCCAGAAGUCUUGUUGGGAGACAUUUACCUUGACGUACUGGAGGGACCAAUGGUGACUACUUGGUCUUACCUUCCACACUGCCCAGCCACAGCACACAAUAGCACAUAGUACAUGAAUAAACAAGCACAAUUGGCUUGUGGUCAAAACUGUUGGGCACAUUCCCUGGUGCUCUACAGGUCACAGCUCUAUCAGGCUUGCAUUGGUGGAAGGGCAGCAUAGUAAGCCUUCUCUGUAGCUGACCUGUCAUACACCAAAUAAGAAUAAGGAAAAUAAAGGUUUUUAAAGUUGAAAAAAUAUCACAAAAGAUUCUUGUGUAGCCUUCAUCCAAAUUCCCCAAAUGUCAAUAUUUUCUCAUACUUGUUUUAUUUCCCCCUCUACUGCAUAUGCAUAAGACAUUUUCUUCUAAAAUAUUUAAAAUUGCAGAUAUGAUGGCCCUUAACUUAUACAUACUCAAGAGUGUGUUUCUUUUAAGAACAUAUUCUAGGGUGGGUAUAUGGCUUAGCAGGUCAAGUCACUGUUUAGGAUAUCUGUGUUCAAUAUCAGAGUGUUCCAGUUUCCUAAUGCAGACCCUAGGAGGCAGGAGGUGACACCUCAAUGUUGGGGAUCCUGCCAUGCAUGUGGAAGAUACAGACUGAGUUGCUGGCUCCUGACUUCAGCCUGGCUCAGCCCAGGCCAUUGUGGCCAUUAGUGAAUGAACCAGAAGAUGGUUGCACUUUCUGGCUGGCUAUUCAGCUGUUUUUCUCUCUGACUUUCAAAUAAUAAUAACACUAAAAAAAACUUCAAAGAGGGCAUCUUUCAUCAUUAACAUAGUAGUAUAAUGCAUUAAUAUCAGAAAAUAGUAUUAAUAAAAUGCUAUAAUUUAGAAGUAUAAUUCAAAUUUUCCAGUUGUCCUACUUUUUUUUGUAUUGGUUGUUCAAGAUCCAACCCAAGAUCAUGUUGUAUUUGUCAUUAAUUUCUUUAAAAUAGAGCUAUAAUUAUGGCAUUCCCCUGUUCAGAUAUAGUCAGUGUCUUGUAUUUCCCAUUGAACUAAAUAAAAAAAAUCUCCUUCCAAAUAUUUAACUGCACUAUGAUGCUUCCUUGAUUUACUUCCUUUCUUCAUGUAGAAUUGAAUUUAUGACCUAUAUUAUUUUCUUGAAUCACAACUAUAUUAACAGCAAAGUCCCUCAAAUCUUGUUUCUCUUAGAAAGUACUUCUUCAUUUUUUAAAGACUCAUUUAUUUGAAAGGCAGAGUGACAGAGAAAGAGGGGUGAGAAACAGAGAUGUUGUUUAUCUGUUCGUUCACUUCCCAAGUGCCCAACAACAGCUAGGGCUGAGUCAGACCUGAGCCAGGAACUCCAUUUGAGCCUCCCACAUGGGUGACAGAGAAAAAAGUAGUUGGGCCAUAUUCUUCUUCCUUCCCAGGUGCAUUAGCGAUAGACGCAUGGAGCAGCCAGCACUGGAUCCAGCACUCCUAUAUGGGACACAGGUGUCCCAAGCAGUGGGUUAACCUGCUGCACCACAACACCCACGCUUUCCUCUUCAUUUUUGAAGGAUGCUUUUUCAAGGUCCUGAAUGCUCUGUUGGGAAUUUUCUCUGUCAAUGCUCUAAGUGUUUUACCCUACUCCUCUUACAAUGAUGUUUCUGAGAAGUCAGAUGUAAUGCUUAGUUUUCCUCCUUUAUAGGUAAGGAGUUUUUCCUCCGGUUUCUUUCAGGGUUUUUCUUUACCUUCGAUUUUCUGUGUUUGAAAAUGAUAUUUGUAGGUGUAGGCUUUUGGUAUUUAUCCUGCUGGGUGUUCUCUACAAUUCCUGGAUCUGUAUUUUGGUGUCUGACAUAUAUUUGGGAUAAUUCUUAGUUACUGUUGUUUAAAAUACUCCUUUUUAUUCAGUCCAUGUCCCAGUUCAUUUGGGCUGCUGUAAGGGAACACCAUGGAUUGGGUGAAUUAUAAACAGCAAAAAAAAUUUUUCCUAACAGUUGUGGAAGCUGGUAAACACAGGAAUCAAGAAACUGGCAUACUUGGUAUCUGGUUUGGCCCUGCUCCCUAGUUCAUAGACAGCUGUCUUCACUGUGUCCUCACAUGGCAUCAGGGGUCACGGAGUUCUCUGGGGUCUCUUUCAUGAGGGCACCAAGCUCACUUGAGAGUGUUUUACCCUCACACCCUAGUCACCUCCCCUGUGUCCCCCCUGCAAACACCCUUUCAUUGCCAAUUAAGAUUCAACAUAUCAAUUUGGGAUGGACACAAUUAUUCCACUACUGACACCUGAAAAUUCAUGUCUUUAUUACAUGUAAAUUGCAAUCAUUCCAUCCAAAUAGCUUCCAAAGUCUCAGCUACUUUCCAUUAACUUAAAAGUCUAAUCCAAAAGUCAGUAUCACCUAAUUCCGAUCUGAGUGACAACUGAGAGUUUGUUGAAAUUGUAAAAAUUUUUUAUAGUUGUUUUAGUUCUAAAAUUUAACAACUUUUAAAAACAUGUUGGCUGGCGCCGCAGCUCACUAGGCUAAUCCUCCGCCUUGUGGCGCUGGCACACCGGGUUCUAGUCCCCGUCGGGGUACCGGAUUCUGUCCCAGUUGCCCCUCUUCCAGGCCAGCUCUCUGCUGUGGCCAGGGAGUGCAGUGGAGGAUGGCCCAAGUGCUUGGGCCCUGCACCCCAUGGGAGACCAGGAUAAGUACCUGGCUCCUGCCAUCGGAUCAGCGCGAUGCGCUGGCCGCAGCGCACCGGCCGCGGAGGCCAUUGGAGGGUGAACCAACGGCAAAGGAAGACCUUUCUCUCUGUCUCUCUCUCUCACUGUCCACUCUGCCUGUCAAAAAAUUAAAAAUAAAUAAAUAAAAAUAAAAUAAAAACAUGUUGCCACAUUCACAUCAAACGUAGACAUUAGAUAUAUACAUAUAUGCACUAUUUUUUUUCUUUAAAAAAGUUACUAAUAUUUAUUACAAAGCAAGAAAUUCAUGAGGCAGAGUUCAUCUUCAGGCAAAUUACUCUCCAUGUAUGAACCUGUAAGACCAAUCAUUUUGGGGCCCGUGCUGUGGUAUAUCUAAUAAAGCUGCCACCUACAGUGCCUGCAUCCUAUAUGGAUGCCAAUUCAAGUCCCAGCUACUCCACUUCUUAUCCAGCUCCCUGCUAGUGCACCUGGGAAAGCAGAAGAAAUGCAAAAUAUUUGGGCCCCUGCACCCACAUGGGAGACCUAGAAGAAGCUCUUGGUUCUUGGCUUCAAAUUGGCUUAGCUCCAGUCAUAGUGGCCAUUUUAGGAGUGAACCAGUGAAUGGAAGAUAUCUCUGUCUCCCUGUCUCUCCCUCUUUCUCUGUAACUCUGCCUUUCAAAUAAAAUAAAUAAAUCUUUAAAAAAGAAAGACCAAUCAUUUUAUGUGCUUCUAAAACACAAUGGUGGGACAGGCAUAGGGUGGGCAAUUCCAUUCAAAAAGGGACAUAUAGGACAGAAGAAAGAAGUGGCAGGCCUUAGUUAAAUACUAAACCUAAUAGGAUAAACAGUAUUAAACAUUAAAGCUCAGGAAUAAUCCUUUUGGCUUAAUGGUCAACCUUCCAGGUCCACUACUGUUGAAGCCCCAAAUCCAGACCUCUUGUGGGUUGAAGUUGCAUGCUGUGACUCUCCCAGGCAGUGAUUCCACCUCCAGUGUUCUCCUGAACUGGAUUUCCAUGCCUGCAACCCCUCUGGGCUAGAAUCAUGUACCAGUGGCUCAGCUGGUUUGGGGUCCCACAUGUGUGGCAGGAACUCAGUUACAUGAGCUAGCAUGACUGACUCCCAGAAUCUGCAUUUGCAGGAAGCUGGAGUCAAGAUCUGGACAGGAAAUUGAACCUGAUCACUCAAUAUGGGAUGCAGGCAUGUUAACAGUAGGCUAAAUGCCCACCCCAUGCCCAUUUGUUCUGUCCUUAGCAUCUUAAUCAUAAUUGCUUUAAAUUUCUUGUCUGAUAAUUCCAACAUCUGUACCAAUUGCUAUAAAAAGUAAAAUAAGGGAAAAGAAAGAAAGAAAAAAAUGAAGGCUGUUGAUGAUGUGUUAGUUGUAGGGAGAGGGUAAGUAUUCUAAAGUCUUGUGAUUAGGCCUGGGUCUUUUUCUGUAAGACUAUUAUGCUGGACUGUGAAUGCCACAAGUGUUUUGCAGUCCCUCCCUUCCCAGGUGGGAUAGGAUAGCUGCAAUGGGCUAGGGUUGGAUAUUUCCCUUCUCUCAUGUCAGUUAGGCUCUAAUGGAAUCCCAGCAGGUUAUGCCAGUAAACAACUUCCCCUGAGAGCAGAUCUUAAAAAUAACAGAGUGCUCCAGUGGCUAUGAAAAUGAUUUAUUUCUCCUUCUUAUGCCAGUAAUAUGAGAGGAUUUUUCUCCAAUAUUUGCUCUUUACCUAGUCAAGAUUCUGAUACUGAAAAUCACAAAAGUGAGGGGUUCCCUUACAACCAGGUCCACCCAAGUUUUACCGCUCAGGUUGUCCACACUUGACCUCCAGCGAUUCAUCAGCUAGAGUUUAGGUAUUCCUACCACAACAUUGAUCUCAUAGGGGUUCCCACCUGAUACAUUGCAAUUCUCUGCAUCUGCCUUCUGUCCCUGUGUUCCACUUUGGGGACAGUGUUUUGCUCUGUGACCACCUCUAUUAUUUACCCAUGAAAAGUUUAUUGAUUUCUUCAAUUUGUUCAGAUUUUUUAUUUAUUAGGAUAGAGUGGUGACUUCCAAGUUCCUUAUAUGUGAAGAGGAAACUAGAAGUCUUUAAUUUGCAAAAUCAAGAAGACAAUGAUGGGCUGGCAUUUUGGCACAGGGUGUUAAGCUCUCACCUGUGACCAUUGGCAUCCCAUAUAAGCAUAGGUUCAAGACCUUGCUGAUCUACUUCUGAAACAAGCUCCCUGCUAAUUUGCCUGGGAAAGCAGCAGAAGACAGCCCGAGUUCUUGGGUUCCUGUGACUUGUGUGGGAGACCCUGAUAGAGUUCUAAGCUCCUAGAUUCAGCCUGGUCCAUCCUCAGCCCUUGUGGCCAUUUGGGAAACGAGCCAGUAGAUGCAAGAUUCUCUCUCUCUCUCUCUCUCUCUCUCUCACUCUCUGUCUCCCUCUCUCUUUUUCUCUCUCCCCCCUUCCCUCCCUCUCUCUCUCUCCCCUUCUCUCUGAUUCCACCUUUCAAAUAGAUAAAUACAUCAUUAAAAAAAAAAAGACAGCAAUAGCGAAGAGACACAUAAGAAGACACUCAGGAUCACUAGCCAUCAGGGAAAUGAAAAUAAAAAUCAAAACAAGGAAUCAGCUCACCCCAGUUAGAAUGACUAUCAUCCAAAAACCAAAAAAUAACAAAUAUUGGUGAGGAUAUGAGGAAAAAGGUACCCCACUGUUGGCAGGAAUGUAAACUAGUGCAACCACUAUGGAAGGCAGUUUGGAGAUUCCUCAGAAAUCUAAAAAUAGACCUACCAUAUGACCCAGCCAUUCCACUCCUGGGAAUUUACCCAAAGGAAAUGAAAUAAGAAUAUGAAAGAGUUUUUGUUUAUAGCAGCUCAAUUCACAAUCAAAUCAAAUGUCUAUUGACUGAUGACUGCAUAAAGAAAUUGUGGAAUAUAUACAUGAUGGAAUACUAUUCAUAAAUAAGAAUGAAAUCCUAUCUUUUAUAACAAAAUGGAUGCAAUUGGAGACUAUUAUGCUUAAUGAAAUAAGCCAGUCUCAAAAAGACAAAUAUGUUUUCCUUGAUUUGUGGUAACUAACAUACAGAGUAUGAGAAAUGAAAUGUAUGUGAAUGAAACUGACAUUUUGAGGUUUUUUAUAGUUUAUAGCCUUUGUCUAUACUCCUGAGGAACAGUGGUUUUUCUACUUACUUUAAAAAAAAAAGAGUGGGGGAUUUGACAUAGUUGGUUUUAAUCAAUGCUUUAAUGGAAUCAUAGAUGUGGCACAUAGCUUGACUAUGUGUAGACAUACAGUCCGUGGAAUAAUUGCUAAAAAUCUUUUGUUGUAUCUAAACCAUCCUUGCAUUUGCUUUAGCAUAAAUAGAUGCAAUUAUGGUUUGUCAUUGGCAAAAAAAAAAAAAGACAGUGAUAAGCAUUCACAAAGCAGCUUUAUUUUGCUUUUUUGACAUAGUUCACAACCUUUUCUUUUUCUACCCAUUCAAAAAGAAAAUAUUUCCAACUUUAAAAUAAUUAAAUGACCAAUGCCAGAAACCAGUAGUUACUUCCAGGGCUUGGUCCUUGCAUGGCAGGGCCUCAGAUGUAUGGCCACUGGCAGAGGACUCGACGUUUUGAGCGUGCAGCCAGGCAUGGCCAAUAGCAACCAAUGUGGGAGUGUAGGAGAGCGAGGUGUGCUCCUGGUCUGCCUUGUCCUCCGACCCUUUCCCUG